AUGGAUCCAUGGAUGCAGGAGUAUCUCGACCGGAUUGACGCCAUGCUCGACGCCUACACCGACGCCACCAGGUCCCUCGCAGAGAAAGUGGACGCUCUGGUCGUCGCCUGGCGGCCAGACCUCGAGAAGAGGUCCUCCCACACCGCCGUCGUCCACGAUCCACCAUCGCCGAUUCCUUCGCUGGAGAUCACUACUGAGGCGUCGGCGCCCAUCCCAGGCGUCUCCUGCUCCACCACCAAGGCCCAUAAGGUACCAGAGGUCAUCCACAAGGCGGCCCCUGACUGCAUCAUGGCGGCGCCUGUGACCUGUUCGACGGAUUGUUUGAAUCAAGUUGUCGCCCACGCCAGCGUCAACGAGGUCCGAGAUGUCGCCACCACCAUCUUCCCCGUGGACGCAGUUGACCUCCAGGAAGCCUCCGACACCACCAUCCACAUCGCCAAGGGUGUAGGACCCAUCCCUGACGACGCCACUCCAGAGCUCACUUCCCUGGAGGUGCGUGGCGCAGGCCUGGGCCACGAGGUUGUUGCCAUCGACGUCCACGUGCCCACCGCAUCGGCAUUCACCGGGUCGCCGGUGUGGCCCAGCUUCAACUCUGGCACCUCUGAAUCUUCAUUGCCAUCUACACACAAGGAUGUGCAAGAGGUAUGGAAGCCAAUGCCUGGGCUAUUUGACAAGCCUGAAGCUGUUGUUGCUAAUGUGAAGGAGCACAAGGAUGAUGCAAAGCUGUUGGUAAUUACACUCUUCAUGAACCCAUCAACCUGGUAUGAACAUUUCAAUACCCGAGACCCUUGCUUGGUUUCGUUGGAUGCCCAGUUGGUAUUUGCGGAGCAUAUGAGUCCUGAACUGCGUUUAACAUGGCCGACACUAGUGGGAACUAAUUUCAGUGAGUUCUGUUCAGCAGGGCUGUCUAAUUCAUAUUGUACAUUAUCCUUGUUCCCUUGGAAUCCAGGUGGUUAUUUUCUCAUGCAUAAGAAUCGGGUGACCAUGAUGCUUAUCACUACUAGUAGUAGUUCUCAUUGGCAUGUUACCCGUGUAUUUGAGGAGUCUGGUCAGUGCUUUUCUCAGAUUGCAAAAAUACAAUGGUUGUUUCCUAUUUGUAUGAAGGCGAUGACACAGUGCUUGGUAAUACUACCUCUUGUUAAGCUGGAUUAUGAGCUAUGGCAUCCACCUGAUCAGCAACCAAGGAUGAAGAGGAAGUUCCCUUGGACGUUCAGAACACAUCCAUUUCUGAAUACCCAAGCGCGGGACAAGGAAUUGACUAGUUACCUUUCUAUGAAUUUGUUCCAUCUUGGAGAUCUUGUGUACAAUACAUGGGGACGGUGGCUCAGUGUACUUGGACACUGCAUCAGGAUACUCCUAGGUCGGCUCUUGUGCUUGUGGUAUUUGCAACAAGACGAUGCUGAUUCAUGCUUCAUUACACAUGUGAAACUCUUUCAUUACAGUGAAUGGUGGUUUUCUGAACUCUGUCUGGUUACUAGCAUUCUCACCCUUGAACUGUAUCAUUCUUGCCCGGCUGCUACGACUGUCCAUCCAUUUAGGAGCAUGACAAAAUGGGGUGCUUGGAACACGGCAAGAAGUUUUUGUUUGCGGUUAAUACAGCUUGAGCCAGUACUACCUUCUAAUCUAGCUAGCAGAACUGAACAACGGCAGCUUAUCUCUGACACGUAUCCAUGGCAACAUGUAGUGUUUGGGCUGCUAUAUGAACUAGCAUACUGCAAUGAGGCCAAUCAUUAUUAUUGGUAUCUGAAGAUCCUUACAAUGCUGGUUGUUCAGACCGUACAAGUUGCAACAGAGAUACGAGAUUCAGAGUUAAGUUUGUUUGUUGCUGGUGCUUUCCUGCUUGGGCAUAAACAAAAGUUUCUCUGGACUCCAUACACUGCAAAGUUUUUGGUGUUUCACAGGACCAACUCAGCUCCUAGUUAUUUUUCAGUCUCUGACAGAAGAUCUUGCUAUAUUGUUCUGCUUGAUGUGUUUAGAAUUCUGUGCUAUGAACCGAUGCUAGCUACCGGUAUUCAACCUAGACUCUCUGAGUGUCAACCUGGCGAUUGGUUUCAUGAUGUUUUUCUCAGUGUAUGCAACACAUAUACUCCUGAACCCACGCUCGCCAAAUUUCAGGCUUUAAAAAAAUGCGAUUGCGAGCAUCUUAUAUCAACCGGGGCUUGUAAUCUAUUCAUGGACAAAGGAUGCCUCAAGCGUCACAUGGUUCACGAAGAAAACGAUUCAAUAGUAGUGCAAACUUCAAGGAUUCAGUGUGUACAGCCAAGAUGCUACUUGGAGGUUGGCUCUACUCAAGCAUAUCUGAAACUGAAGGAAGUUGAUGUUGCUGUUACUUACAUGUUUGAGCUUAGAAACAAUUCGGAUUGGGAGUUGCUUACCCAUUUCAACCGUCCACCUGAUCCAGCAAGUAUUUGGGAGUGCAUCACUGGCCGAAGCUUUCCCCGGGACCAAAUCUUACUGAUGAUUUUUCAUCCAUGGCCACCAACUCAUGUUACUUAUCUGAUAAAGUUUUGCUGUUGUGGCAGCCGGGCAGUGACUCGACAAAUGGUUUUUCAAGGUGGGCAAGGUGUCGUUGCUAUCACUGUCGGUUUUCCACAAGGCUCCGUCGACCACAAGUACUACCACGGCUUCGACAGCGACUACUUCGGCUUCUCAUGUGAUUGGAUCGCCAUCGGCCACGGCUACUACAACCCUGUCAUUCAAGUCAACCCCGACUGUGGCUACCACAACGACUUCGAGCUAGUCAAGGAACAUCGAGUGCAAUGGGAUCCGGGCGGUUCUCGGUGGCUUCGGCUUGGGGUCAAGCCGGAUCUUAAGAAUGGGGGGAUGUUAGCAGCCCUACUAACAUGUAUGCACAUGGGCUUGGCCACUGGGCCGCUCAUGGACUUGGCCCGCCCGCUACCCCAUCGCUGCAGCUACAAGUACCAGAUCAAACGCAAGGAAGAAGGUAUCCAGUGGAUCACGGACGAACCCGGUGGCGGCUACCUUCCUCUCUUCUCCUACCUCUGCUCCCCAGUUCAUCUGUAA
rnacentral:rRNA from 1 species